AGAACUGCACGGAAGUCUUCAGUUCUACCUCCAGGGCCUACAACCAAGGCCCGCCUGCCCUAGGAAUCCCUCAGAUCCUACUCCCUGAAGAGGGUACCAUCUGUGGGUGGCUUCCCCGGCUCUGCCAGCCCCUAGCCCCUCUGCCUCCGAUGCUCUAACCCUUCCUUAAGCCCCUCUUCCAGGGAGUCCUGGACCUGCUCACCUUCAGCAGGAUAUACCCUUCCUCCCUCUGCCUUGGGCUCACAGCUUCUCCAGGCAGGCCCUACAAGAGGUAUUCCAGAGAAGGUAUUAUUAUCAUGAAAGAUGGCGGCUCCAUGUGUGUUACUGGCCCUGAAGACCUUCCAGUGAGACAAGACAUGGAUGUGGGGGGCAGUGAUAUUGAAGACCCUGACCCUGUGUAGGCCUAGGGUAAUGUGUGUGUUCGUGCCUUAGUUCUUAACAAAAAAGUUUAAAAAGCAAAAAUGCAGACAUACAUACAUACAUACAUAAAUGUUUGAACAGAAAAACACUUUUAAAAUAAGAAUAUAAGGAAAAAAUGUUCUUACACAGCUGUACAAGGUAUUCGUGUUUUAGUCUGUUAUUGCAAAAGAAUCAAACAGUUUAAAAAUGUUUUAAGUUUACAAAGAAAAAUGUUACAGUAAGCUAAGGUUAAUUUAUUACUAAGAAAAGGAAAAUAUUUGUCAUAAGUAGUGUAGCCUAAGUGUACAGUGCUUAGAAAGUCUACAGUAGUCAGCCAGGUGCAGUGACUCAUGCCUGUAACCCCAGCACUUUGGGAGGCUGGGGCGGGAGGAUCACAAGGUCAGGAGUUCAAGACCAU
rnacentral:lncRNA from 1 species